ACCGGCUGACGAGUCCCAAAUAGGACGAAACGCACAUCCAGGAU
rnacentral:hammerhead_ribozyme from 1 species